GGUUGCUUACACAUGCAGUCGUACGAUAAUUAUUUCUUCGGGAAUAGUUGUUAGUGGCGCCACGGGUGAGUAACGCGUAAGAAUCUACCUUUAGGAGGGGGACAACAGUUGGAAACGGCUGCUAAUUCCCCAUAUGCUGAGGAGUGAAACGGUUUAUAACCGCCUAAAGAUGAGCUUGCGUCUGAUUAGCUAGUUGGUAAGGUAAUGGCUUACCAAGGCAAUGAUCAGUAGCUGGUCUGAGAGGAUGAUCAGCCACACUGGGACUGAGACACGGCCCAGACUCCUACGGGAGGCAGCAGUGAGGAAUUUUCCGCAAUGGGCGAAAGCCUGACGGAGCAAUACCGCGUGGAGGAUGACGGCCUGUGGGUCUUAAACUCCUUUUCUUAGAGAAGAAGAUCUGACGGUAUCUAAGGAAUAAGCAUCGGCUAAAUCCGUGCCAGCAGCCGCGGUAAUACGGGUGAUGCAAGCGUUAUCCGGAAUGAUUGGGCGUAAAGCGUCUGUAGGUGGCUUCCCAAGUCAACUGUCAAAAAUCAGGGCUUAACCUUGAGCCGGCAGUUGAAACUAUGAAGCUUGAGUUAGGUAGGGGCAGAGGGAAUUCCUAGUGUAGCGGUGAAAUGCGUAGAUAUUAGGAAGAACACCAAUCGCGAAAGCACUCUGCUGGGGCCAUGACUGACACUGAGAGACGAAAGCUAAGGGGAGCGAAU
rnacentral:rRNA from 1 species